rnacentral:rRNA from 1 species
ACGGAGCGAAAGCGACGUUCAACCGCAAAACAAGCAGAGGGGGCUUAGUGGUGGGGUGACUGCGUACCUUUUGUAUAAUGGGUCAGCGACUUAUAUUCUGUAGCAAGGUUAACCGAAUAGGGGAGCCGCAGGGAAACCGAGUCUUAACCGGGCGUUAAGUUGCAGGGUAUAGACCCGAAACCCGGUGAUCUAGCCAUGGGCAGGUUGAAGGUUGGGUAACACUAACUGGAGGACCGAACCGACUAAUGUUGAAAAAUUAGCGGAUGACCUGUGGCUGGGGGUGAAAGGCCAAUCAAACCGGGAGAUAGCUGGUUCUCCCCGAAAGCUAUUUAGGUAGCGCCUCGUGAAUUCAUCUCCGGGGGUAGAGCACUGUUUCGGCUAGGGGGCCAUCCCGGCUUACCAACCCGAUGCAAACUGCGAAUACCGGAGAAUGUUAUCACGGGAGACACACGGCGGGUGCUAACGUCCGUCGUGAAGAGGGAAACAACCCAGACCGCCAGCUAAGGUCCCAAAGUCAUGGUUAAGUGGGAAACGAUGUGGGAAGGCCCAGACAGCCAGGAUGUUGGCUUAGAAGCAGCCAUCAUUUAAAGAAAGCGUAAUAGCUCACUGGUCGAGUCGGCCUGCGCGGAAGAUGUAACGGGGCUAAACCAUG